AGGUAAGCUACUAAGAGCGAAUGGUGGAUGCCUUGACUGGUAAAGGCGAUGAAGGACGUACUAGACUGCGAUAAGCUACGGGGAGCUGUCAAGAAGCUUUGAUCCGUAGAUUUCCGAAUGGGGCAACCCAAUGUAUAGAGAUAUACAUUACCUAUAUAGGAGCGAACGAGGGGAAUUGAAACAUCUUAGUACCCUCAGGAAAAGAAAUCAAUAGAGAUUGCGUCAGUAGCGGCGAGCGAAAGCGCAAGAGGGCAAACCCAGUGCUUGCACUGGGGGUUGUAGGACUGCAAUGUGCAAGAGGUAAGUUUAGCAGAACAUUCUGGAAAGUAUAACCAUAGAGGGUGAUAGUCCCGUAUGCGAAAAACAAACCUUAUCUAGCAGUAUCCUGAGUAGGGCGGGACACGAGGAAUCCUGUCUGAAUCCGGGUCGACCACGAUCCAACCCUAAAUACUAAUACCAGAUCGAUAGUGCACAAGUACCGUGAGGGAAAGGUGAAAAGAACUGAGGUGAUCAGAGUGAAAUAGAACCUGAAACCAUUUGCUUACAAUCAUUCAGAGCCCUAUGUAGCAAUACAGGGUGAUGGACUGCCUUUUGCAUAAUGAGCCUGCGAGUUGUGGUGUCUGGCAAGGUUAAGCAAACGCGAAGCCGUAGCGAAAGCGAGUCUGAAUAGGGCGCUUAGUCAGAUGCUGCAGACCCGAAACGAAGUGAUCUAUCCAUGAGCAAGUUGAAGCUAGUGUAAGAACUAGUGGAGGACUGAACCCAUAGGCGUUGAAAAGCCCCGGGAUGACUUGUGGAUAGGGGUGAAAGGCCAAUCAAACUUCGUGAUAGCUGGUUCUCUCCGAAAUAUAUUUAGGUAUAGCGUUGUGUCGUAAUAUAAGGGGGUAGAGCACUGAAUGGGCUAGGGCAUACACCAAUGUACCAAACCCUAUCAAACUCCGAAUACCUUAUAUGUAAUCACAGCAGUCAGGCGGCGAGUGAUAAAAUCCGUCGUCAAGAGGGAAACAACCCAGACUACCAGCUAAGGUCCCUAAAUCUUACUUAAGUGGAAAACGAUGUGAAGUUACUUAAACAACCAGGAGGUUGGCUUAGAAGCAGCCAUCCUUUAAAGAAAGCGUAAUAGCUCACUGGUCUAGUGAUUUUGCGCGGAAAAUAUAACGGGGCUAAAGUAAGUACCGAAGCUGUAGACUUAGUUUACUAAGUGGUAGGAGAGCGUUCUAUUUGCGUCGAAGGUAUACCGGUAAGGAGUGCUGGAGCGAAUAGAAGUGAGCAUGCAGGCAUGAGUAGCGAUAAUUAAUGUGAGAAUCAUUAACGCCGUAAACCCAAGGUUUCCUACGCGAUGCUCGUCAUCGUAGGGUUAGUCGGGUCCUAAGUCGAGUCCGAAAGGGGUAGACGAUGGCAAAUUGGUUAAUAUUCCAAUACCAACAUUAGUGUGCGAUGGAAGGACGCUUAGGGCUAAGGGGGCUAGCGGAUGGAAGUGCUAGUCUAAGGUCGUAGGAGGUUGUACAGGCAAAUCCGUAUAACAAUACUCCGAGAACUGAAAGGCUUUUUGAAGUCUUCGGAUGGAUAGAAGAACCCCUGAUGCCGUCGAGCCAAGAAAAGUUUCUAAGUUUAGCUAAUGUUGCCCGUACCGUAAACCGACACAGGUGGGUGGGAUGAGUAUUCUAAGGCGCGUGGAAGAACUCUCUUUAAGGAACUCUGCAAAAUAGCACCGUAUCUUCGGUAUAAGGUGUGGUUAGCUUUGUAUUAGGAUUUACUCCGAAAGCAAGGAAACUUACAACAAAGAGUCCCUCCCGACUGUUUACCAAAAACACAGCACUCUGCUAACUCGUAAGAGGAUGUAUA
rnacentral:rRNA from 1 species